rnacentral:rRNA from 1 species
UGGGGAAUAUUGCACAAUGGGGGAAACCCUGAUGCAGCGACGCCGCGUGAGCGAAGAAGGUUUUCGAAUCGUAAAGCUCUGUCCUAUGAGAAGAUAAUGACGGUAUCAUAGGAGGAAGCCCCGGCUAAAUACGUGCCAGCAGCCGCGGUAAUACGUAAGGUCCGAGCGUUGUCCGGAAUCAUUGGGCGUAAAGGGUACGUAGGCGGGUAAGCAAGUUAGAAGUGAAAUCCUGUAGCUCAACUACAGUAAGCUUUUAAAACUGCUCAUCUUGAGAUAUGGAAGGGAAAGUGGAAUUCCUAGUGUAGCGGUGAAAUGCGCAGAUAUUAGGAGGAAUACCGGUGGCGAAGGCGACUUUCUGGCCAUAAUCUGACGCUGAGGUACGAAAGCGUGGGUAGCAAACAGG